UGGGGAAUUUUGCGCAAUGGGCGAAAGCCUGACGCAGCGACGCCGCGUGAGGGAUGAAGGUCCUAGGAUUGUAAACCUCUGUCAGGAAGCAUUAAAUGCACAGGUAUCAACACCACCCGUGCUUGACUUAACUUCCAGAGGAAGCCCCGGCUAACUACGUGCCAGCAGCCGCGGUAAUACGUAGGGGGCAAGCGUUACUCGGAUUUAUUUGGCGUAAAGAGAAUUAAGGCGGUCAUGUAAGUCAGUGGUGAAAUCCCCCGGCUCAACUGGGGAAUUGCCUUUGAUACUGCGUGACUUGAGGACAGGAGAGGAAGGCGGAAUUCCCGGUGUAGCGGUGGAAUGCGUAGAUAUCGGGAGGAACACCUGAAGCGAAGGCGGCUUUCUGGACUGGUCCUGACGCUGAUAUUCGAAAGCUAGGGGAGCAAACAG
rnacentral:rRNA from 1 species